rnacentral:rRNA from 1 species
CCUACGGGAGGCAGCAGUGAGGAAUAUUGGUCAAUGGGCGGAAGCCUGAACCAGCCAAGUAGCGUGCAGGAUGAAGGCCCUACGGGUCGUAAACCGCUUUUGCACGGGGAUAACACCCUCCACUUGUGGAGGUCUGCAGGUACCGUGCGAAUAAGGGCCGGCUAAUUCCGUGCCAGCAGCCGCGGUAAUCCGGAAUGCCCGAGCGUUAUCCGGAUUCAUUGGGCUUAAAGGGAGCGUAGGCGGGCGUGCAAGUCAGCUGUAAAAGCGCGCGGCUCAACCGCGCCCCGCAGUUGAAACUGGACGCCUUGAGUUCACAACAGGCAGGCGGAAUUCGUGGUGUAGCGGUGAAAUGCAUAGAUAUCACGAGGAACCCCGAUUGCGAAGGCAGCCUGCCGGGGUGCGACUGACGCUGAGGCUCGAAGGUGCGGGUAUCAAACAGGGUUAGAUACCCUAGUAGUC